rnacentral:rRNA from 1 species
UACGGAGGGGGCAAGCGUUAUUCGGAAUUAUUGGGCGUAAAGGGCGCGUAGGCGGCUAGAUGUGUCAAAGGUGAAAUCCCUCGGCUCAACUGAGGAACUGCCUUUGAAACUGUCUGGCUUGAGGCCGGGAGAGGGUAGCGGAAUUCCCGGUGUAGAGGUGAAAUUCGUAGAUAUCGGGAGGAACACCGGUGGCGAAGGCGGCGACCUGGGUCGAGACUGACGCUGAGGCGCGAAAGCGUGGGGAGCAAACAGG